GUGCUAGCUUCGGCAGCACAUAUACUAAAAUUGGAAUGAUACACAGAAGAUUAGUAUGGCCCCUAUGCAAGGAUGGCUUUCAAAUUCAUGAAGCAUUCCAUAUUUUU